UACGUAGGGUGCGAGCGUUGUCCGGAAUUACUGGGCGUAAAGAGCUCGUAGGUGGUUUGUCGCGUUGUUCGUGAAAUCUCACGGCUUAACUGUGAGCGUGCGGGCGAUACGGGCAGACUGGAGUACUGCAGGGGAGACUGGAAUUCCUGGUGUAGCGGUGGAAUGCGCAGAUAUCAGGAGGAACACCGGUGGCGAAGGCGGGUCUCUGGGCAGUAACUGACGCUGAGGCGCGAAGGCGUGGGGAGCGAACGGG
rnacentral:rRNA from 1 species